rnacentral:rRNA from 1 species
UACGAAGGGUGCAAACGUUGCUCGGAAUUAUUGGGCGUAAAGCGCACGUAGGCGGUCCGUUAAGUCAGAUGUGAAAGCCCCCGGCUCAACCGGGGAAGUGCAUCUGAAACUGGCGGGCUAGAGUACGAAAGAGGGUCGCGGAAUUCCCGGUGUAGAGGUGAAAUUCGUAGAUAUCGGGAGGAACACCGGUGGCGAAGGCGGCGACCUGGGUCGAUACUGACGCUGAGGUGCGAAAGCGUGGGGAGCAAACAGG